CGGCGUGCCUAACACAUGCAAGUCGUACGAGAAAGCCGGCUUCGGCUGGUGAGUAAAGUGGCGCACGGGUGAGUAACGCGUGGAUAAUCUGCCCUUAAGUGUGGAAUAACGUACCGAAAGGUGCGCUAAUACCGCAUAAUGCCUGGCAACACAAGUUGUCCGGCCAAAGAAGGCCUCUGUUUACAAGCUUUCGCUUCAGGAUGAGUACGCGUACCAUUAGCUUGUUGGUGGGGUAAUGGCCUACCAAGGCUGCGAUGGUUAGCUGGUCUGAGAGGAUGAUCAGCCACACUGGAACUGAGACACGGUCCAGACUCCUACGGGAGGCAGCAGUGAGGAAUAUUGCGCAAUGGGGGCAACCCUGACGCAGCAACGCCGCGUGAGUGAGGAAGGUUUUCGGACUGUAAAGCUCUGUCGAGCGGGAAGAAGUGUACCAUGGCUAAUAUCCAUGAUAUUUGACGGUACCGCUAGAGGAAGCACCGGCUAACUCCGUG
rnacentral:rRNA from 1 species